rnacentral:rRNA from 1 species
UACGGAGGGUGCAAGCGUUAUCCGGAUUCACUGGGUUUAAAGGGUGCGUAGGUGGGCAGGUAAGUCAGUGGUGAAAUCUCCGGGCUUAACCCGGAAACUGCCAUUGAUACUAUCAGUCUUGAAUACCGUGGAGGUAAGCGGAAUAUGUCAUGUAGCGGUGAAAUGCUUAGAUAUGACAUAGAACACCAAUUGCGAAGGCAGCUUACUACCCGAAUAUUGACACUGAGGCACGAAAGCGUGGGGAGCGAACGGG